UUCAGUAGUCCGGGAGUGGGAAGCAAAGGCUCCAAUUGAGUUGUAGGAGAGAGAAAAAUAAUUAUGCUUGACCAAGUGCCAGAUGUCUGCCAAGCUAUGCUAAAGAGUUCUCGGUCUUUCCAUUUUGCUCAAUUCUCAACAACGGUUUGAUGCUUUUGAAGCUGUUAUCCCCUUCUUGCAGAUGAAGAGGCUGAGCCCUGAGGCUGUUAAAUAAUGUGCCCAAGUGAACACGGCUGGGCCAUGGUGAGAAGUCAGAAACAAAUGGAAAAUGGAACCAAUGGGAAGGAAAUCACUGACCCCGGAGUUUGUUUUGCUGUGAGAAAGACCAUUGACAUGUUAACAAUCAUCUCAAAGUUGAUGGUAUGCCACCUGGAGAGUCAUCAGAGGAACAGUCUAUCAUGCAAAGGGCCAGAAGAGACCUCAUGACUAUCAUCCUACAUAGAAGAACCCAAACCAGUAGUAUGCUGCCAUCAAUGCCAGGAGUCAGCAAAACACUACCCGCCGGCUAAGUCUAUCCCAUCACCUAUUUUUGUAAAUAAAAUUUUAUUGGAACACAA